rnacentral:miRNA from 1 species
AGAAUAAUGCCAGCAGUCGGCU